GGGAGUCGCAGGCGAGGGGGAUGCUGAACCGCAAGCAUCUGAGCAAUCUAUUGCACAGAUUGAUCCGAAAACACCAGGCUGGACUUGCAGGGUUAGAAUUGGAGCCGAUGCCCCAGGAAGGGCACCUUGCCCUGGGCGAACAAGCGCCCUUGAAAAGGCAACACGGGGUGCGCUGAUCAACCUGGGAACAUUGUAAUUGUUCCAGCACUUGGUACAAGCUUCGAUACCCUCGGGGAGGCAUAUGAUUUCUACAAUCUCUACUCGUGGGAGAAGGGUUUAGGAAUAAGGGUAAAGCUGGGGUGGAGAACACUAGAUCGUGUCGGUGCGAGUGUCCUACAUUAACAAGACGCCUCCGAUCGAAGGACAAUGGAUGGUACAUAGGGGAGCAUCUGAACAUCUCAAUCAUUCAUUGUCUCCAACGUAUGGUCAGACAAUACACUGGCUCAGCAUAUUGAUGCCAACAGCAGAGACUUGGUGGAGCAUUUGCUACAGAACAAUGUGAACGUGGCAAAAGUACACAACAUCAUUGGGAGUUUUUUUUGGCUCAAUGGAAAAGGUACCUUUCACAAAAAGAGCUCUCAAGAAUUUGUGUGGUAAAAUCAGCAGAGAGCAGGCAGAGGAUGAUGUUAGGAAAACUAUGGAGGUUUUCGCAGAUCCGGCUUCAAGAGAUUCGCAUUUCACUUACCGAGUCCAGGCAGGCAAAGAUGGUCGGAUAACCACUCUUAUGUGGGCAAAUGGGAGAAGUAGGUUGCAGUACACAUUCUUCAGAGACAUUGGUUGACAAAUAUAAUUUAAAGAUGCAUGACUACAUGACCCAACUUUAUGAAAUAAGACACAAGUGGGAACAGACCCAAUGGACUGUUGGCGCCAAAGAAGCGGAAAGAAAUAGGACGACCAACAGCUAGCAGAGAGAAGGCUCCGUACGAGGAGCUGAGCAAACGAACGCGGUUCUGCACCAUAUGUCGCGGGCAGGGGCACAAGAGGACAACAUGUCCGGAGCGAGGUGAUACCCCGAAACCUGUUCACAAACCGGCAAGGUGCAAAAAUUGUGGAAUUGAAGGUCAUGGGCAAAACAACUGCCACAAAGUGGGUGAUCUGCGGUUGACUGGCAUGUGAACAAUGGCUGGAACCUAUCGGUUGAGACUGUAAAACUGUAGAACUGAAAUCUGUAGAACUUAGGUAGUUCCGUCAGUAGAAGUGCUUCUUGUUUCAUGGUUGCUGAGUUUAUGGAUGGCAAAAUAAAUAAAU